rnacentral:rRNA from 1 species
GUUGAACGCUGGCGGCAUGCCUUACACAUGCAAGUCGAACGGUAAGAGGUCUUCGGAUGCUGACGAGUGGCGAACGGGUGAGUAAUACAUCGGAACGUGCCCAGACGUGGGGGAUAACGAGGCGAAAGCUUUGCUAAUACCGCAUACGAUCUAAGGAUGAAAGCAGGGGACCGCAAGGCCUGGUGCGGUUGGUGCGGCCGAUGGCAGAUUAGGUAGUUGGUGGGAUAAAAGCUUACCAAGCCGACGAUCUGUAGCUGGUCUGAGAGGACGACCAGCCACACUGGAACUGAGACACGGCCCAGACUCCUACGGGAGGCAGCAGUGGGGAAUUUUGGACAAUGGGCGAAAGCCUGAUCCAGCAAUGCCGCGUGCAGGAUGAAGGCCUUCGGGUUGUAAACUGCUUUUGUACGGAACGAAAAGGCUCUGGCUAAUACCUGGGGCACAUGACGGUACCGUAAGAAUAAGCACCGGCUAACUACGUG